AGAGAGAGAGGUGGACUAGAAUCCGGUCAACAGCAUUUGAAGUCAAAUCCGGUUAGUUCUGAUUGAAUGACAGAGUUCCACAUCGAUGAUUUGAGCUGUUGAAUGAGACCUACUACAUCUACCAGAAAUCAUGUGAUUUGGAGAGCCCUGGCCUAUGCACCGAGCGGUACAAAAAUAACAAUUCAAAUACUAUGAAAUAAUACAUAUUUUUUAACCACUCGAUGCAUAGGCCAAUGGUCUCUAAAUCACAUGAUUUUUAAGUAGUUAAAGGUAGUAAAUCACAUCUAGUGACUUGGAUCCUUGGUGUCGGACCCCUAUUGUCCGAUCAAGAUUGACCGAAUCUAUAUUUAUAUAUAUGUGUCUAGAUAUGUAUAUAUGUAUAUUUAUGUAUAUAUAUAAAUUGUGUGUAUAUGUAUAUAUAUAGAUGUAUGUGUAUAUCUCUCUCUCUCUGUAUAUAUAUAUGUAGAUAUAGAUUUAUGUAUAUGUGUCUAUAUAUGAUCAAUGUUGGGAUAUUGCUAUUAGAGAACGUCUUAUAAGCUGCACAAGUUGUCAUAUUUCAAGGCCUUUAAGGCUCUCUCUCUUGUUUGCUAGCUCCUUGAACAUUGCUUUUGAUGGUAUCGAUACCAUCGAACGCUGCUCAUCCCAUU
rnacentral:lncRNA from 1 species